rnacentral:rRNA from 13 species
GUGAGACAGUUCGGUCCCUAUCUGCCGUGGGUGUAGGAGAUUUGAGAAGAGUUGCCCCUAGUACGAGAGGACCGGGGUGAACGAUCCACUGGUGGACCAGUUGUUAUGCCAAUAGCAGUGCUGGGUAGCUAUGAUCGGAAAGGAUAACCGCUGAAGGCAUCUAAGCGGGAAGCCCCCUUCAAAACAAGAUCUCCCUGAGGACCGUGGAAGACCACCACGUCGAUAGGCCAGAGGUGUAAG